UACGUAGGGGGCAAGCGUUGUCCGGAAUCAUUGGGCGUAAAGCGCGCGUAGGCGGCCCUGUAAGUCCGUUGUGAAAGUCAAAGGCUCAACCUUUGAAAGCCGAUGGAUACUGCAGGGCUAGAGUCCGGAAGAGGCGAGUGGAAUUCCUGGUGUAGCGGUGGAAUGCGCAGAGAUCAGGAGGAACACCCGUAGCGAAGGCGGCACUCUGGGCCGUGACUGACGCUGAGGAGCGAAAGCGUGGGUAGCGAACAGG
rnacentral:rRNA from 1 species